AGAGUUUGAUCCUGGCUCAGAUUGAACGCUGGCGGCAUGCCUUACACAUGCAAGUCGAACGGCAGCACGGGGGCAACCCUGGUGGCGAGUGGCGAACGGGUGAGUAACAUAUCGGAACGUGCCCUGGAGUGGGGGAUAACUAGUCGAAAAGAUUAGCUAAUACCGCAUACGAUCUACGGAUGAAAGUGGGGGGACCGCAAGGCCUCAUGCUCGUGGAGCGGCCGAUAUCUGAUUAGCUAGUUGGUGGGGUAAAGGCCUACCAAGGCAUCGAUCAGUAGCUGGUCUGAGAGGACGACCAGCCACACUGGGACUGAGACACGGCCCAGACUCCUACGGGAGGCAGCAGUGGGGAAUUUUGGACAAUGGGGGCAACCCUGAUCCAGCAAUGCCGCGUGAGUGAAGAAGGCCUUCGGGUUGUAAAGCUCUUUUGUCAGGGAAGAAACGGUGCGGGCUAAUACCCUGCGCUAAUGACGGUACCUGAAGAAUAAGCACCGGCUAACUACGUGCCAGCAGCCGCGGUAAUACGUAGGGUGCAAGCGUUAAUCGGAAUUACUGGGCGUAAAGCGUGCGCAGGCGGUUGUGCAAGACAGAUGUGAAAUCCCCGGGCUUAACCUGGGAAUUGCAUUUGUGACUGUACGGCUAGAGUGUGUCAGAGGGGGGUAGAAUUCCACGUGUAGCAGUGAAAUGCGUAGAGAUGUGGAGGAAUACCGAUGGCGAAGGCAGCCCCCUGGGAUAACACUGACGCUCAUGCACGAAAGCGUGGNNACAAACAGGAUUAGAUACCCUAGUAGUCC
rnacentral:rRNA from 1 species